rnacentral:rRNA from 2 species
AGGAUGAACGCUGGCGGCGUGCCUAAUACAUGCAAGUCGAGCGAACAGACGAGGAGCUUGCUCCUCUGACGUUAGCGGCGGACGGGUGAGUAACACGUGGAUAACCUACCUAUAAGACUGGGAUAACUUCGGGAAACCGGAGCUAAUACCGGAUAACAUGUUGAACCGCAUGGUUCAACAGUGAAAGACGGUCUUGCUGUCACUUAUAGAUGGAUCCGCGCCGCAUUAGCUAGUUGGUAAGGUAACGGCUUACCAAGGCAACGAUGCGUAGCCGACCUGAGAGGGUGAUCGGCCACACUGGAACUGAGACACGGUCCAGACUCCUACGGGAGGCAGCAGUAGGGAAUCUUCCGCAAUGGGCGAAAGCCUGACGGAGCAACGCCGCGUGAGUGAAGAAGGUCUUCGGAUCGUAAAACUCUGUUAUUAGGGAAGAACAAAUGUGUAAGUAACUAUGCACGUCUUGACGGUACCUAAUCAGAAAGCCACGGCUAACUACGUGCCAGCAGCCGCGGUAAUACGUAGGUGGCAAGCGUUAUCCGGAAUUAUUGGGCGUAAAGCGCGCGUAGGCGGUUUUUUAAGUCUGAUGUGAAAGCCCACGGCUCAACCGUGGAGGGUCAUUGGAAACUGGAAAACUUGAGUGCAGAAGAGGAAAGUGGAAUUCCAUGUGUAGCGGUGAAAUGCGCAGAGAUAUGGAGGAACACCAGUGGCGAAGGCGACUUUCUGGUCUGUAACUGACGCUGAUGUGCGAAAGCGUGGGGAUCAAACAGGAUUAGAUACCCUGGUAGUCCACGCCGUAAACGAUGAGUGCUAAGUGUUAGGGGGUUUCCGCCCCUUAGUGCUGCAGCUAACGCAUUAAGCACUCCGC